CCCAGACUCCUACGGGAGGCAGCAGUGAGGAAUAUUGGUCAAUGGGCGAGAGCCUGAACCAGCCAAGUCGCGUGAGGGAGGACGGCCCUACGGGUUGUAAACCUCUUUUGCCGGGGGACAAACGGCGGCACGCGUGCCGUCCUGAGGGUACCCGGAGAAAAAGCAUCGGCUAACUCCGUGCCAGCAGCCGCGGUAAUACGGAGGAUGCGAGCGUUAUCCGGAUUUAUUGGGUUUAAAGGGUGCGUAGGCGGGAUGCAAAGUCAGCGGUCAAAUGCGGGGGCUCAACCUGCGUCCGCCGUUGAAACUGGCGUUCUUGAGUGGGCGAGAAGUACGCGGAAUGCGUGGUGUAGCGGUGAAAUGCUUAGAUAUCACGAAGAACUCCGAUUGCGAAGGCAGCUCACUGGACUGCAACUGACACUGAGGCUCGAAAGUGUGGGUAUCAAACAGGAUUAGAUACCCCUGUA
rnacentral:rRNA from 1 species